rnacentral:rRNA from 1 species
ACCGAUGGCGACCGGCGCACGGGUGAGUAACACGUAUUCAACCUGCCGAUGACUCGGGGAUAGCCUUUCGAAAGAAAGAUUAAUACCCGAUGGCAUAGUUCUUCCGCAUGGUAGAACUAUUAAAGAAUUUCGGUCAUCGAUGGGGAUGCGUUCCAUUAGGUUGUUGGCGGGGUAACGGCCCACCAAGCCUUCGAUGGAUAGGGGUUCUGAGAGGAAGGUCCCCCACAUUGGAACUGAGACACGGUCCAA